rnacentral:rRNA from 1 species
CAGUAGCCGCGGGAAUACGUAGGGUGCAAGCGUUAAUCGGAAUUACUGGGCGUAAAGCGUGCGCAGGCGGUUUUGUAAGUCUGUCGUGAAAUCCCCGGGCUCAACCUGGGAAUGGCGAUGGAGACUGCAAGGCUAGAAUCUGGCAGAGGGGGGUAGAAUUCCACGUGUAGCAGUGAAAUGCGUAGAUAUGUGGAGGAACACCGAUGGCGAAGGCAGCCCCCUGGGCUAAGAUUGACGCUCAUGCACGAAAGCGUGGGGAGCAAACAGGAUUAGAUACCCGUGUAGUCCCUGUCUCUUAUAA